CCCAGACUCCUACGGGAGGCAGCAGUGGGGGAUAUUGCACAAUGGGGGAAACCCUGAUGCAGCGACGCCGCGUGGGUGAAGAAGUAUUUCGGUAUGUAAAGCCCUCUCAGCAGGGAAGAAAGAAGACGGUACCUGACUAAGAAGCCCCGGCUAACUACGUGCCAGCAGCCGCGGUAAUACGUAGGGGGCGAGCGUUAUCCGGAUUCACUGGGUGUAAAGGGAGCGUAGACGGCCGUGCAAGCCAGGAGUGAAAGCCCGGGGCCCAACCCCGGGACUGCUCUUGGAACUGUGCGGCUGGAGUGCGGGAGGGGCAGGCGGAAUUCCUGGUGUAGCGGUGAAAUGCGUAGAUAUCAGGAGGAACACCGGCGGCGAAGGCGGCCUGCUGGACCGCGACUGACGUUGAGGCUCGAAAGCGUGGGGAGCGAACAGGAUUAGAUACCCGUGUACC
rnacentral:rRNA from 1 species